rnacentral:lncRNA from 1 species
AUUUAGCAAAUAAGUUUUGAUCCAAAGGGUUCUUGAAAAAUGGUAGUUGCUUCCCAUUAAUGGCUUCAAACACUAAAGACCCUCACCUUGAACCACCUUCCAAUGGCUCGUACUUGAUAACUAAUGGACAUCCAUGGAUCUAGCAAUAAGCAUCCAUAGAAUCCUAAAAGCUUACCAAGUAUUGGCCAUUCAAGGUGAUUCUAAGGGAUUAAAGCUGAAACUUGAAAUAUAAACCAUUAAUGAUACACAACUACCUUCAUUUAAAGCAAGGAAAACUCCCACUUUUGCAUCUGGGUCCUUUACCUAGCUUCCAUCACUCCAAGAAAUGUGAAACUUAGCCACUCAUCCUAUGAGAAAUCAUCCUCAGAGGGUGUUUGGCUAGAGAGAAAGUGAAGAGAAAAUGAGAAGGAAAGGUAGAGAAACCUCCCAUCUUUACAAAAUAUCUAAAACAUAAUAUCUAACAUCACAUCAAGCAUUGUUUGAGAGGUUUUCCAACCCCUAUUUAUAGUUCCUAAACAAACCCUAAUGUCAUUUAUCUAUUACAAAAGGAGUAAAAAGGAAAAUUUACAAUUCUGGAGAAAGAUCUCGAAGGUCGGUGUGCACGAAGUGAUUUUCGCACACCAUGUGAAAAUUUGGCACACCCUGCGAAAAUUUGGCACACCUUGCCAAAAUUUGGCACACCCUGCCAAAUUUUGGCAUACCUUGCGAAAUUGAUGUUUUUGCCUUGCGAAAUGCUUUGUUUUCCUCCAUUUUGCUACUGAUAGCUUUGGAAACCCCUUUCCAAGUUUUCCAAGGGGUUUUGAAGUGCUCCAAAGUUCGGAUUCUUCAUGUGCUCCAAACUCUCCCUCAAUCUUGGCAUGUUUCAAUGAUCCAAAAAGCUACCAAAAACACUAAAACUUACCAAAAACUGGUUAGUAAUAUUUGCUAGGUCCUUAACAUGACAAAUGGGGUAUAAAGGUCUAACUACUACUCAAAAGUGCUUAAUACAAUUAAGUUUAAGCUUAUAAAAAUGCACUUUGUGAGUAGUAAUCACUCCCCCAACCGACAUAUUGCUAGUCCCUUAGCAAUGAAGGAGUGAAAAAGGAAAGUGGCAUGAUAUGGAUCAAAAAUCUCUCAUGGAAAAUCAAAGAUAUAAAACCCAACCUUCAACAAGAGUCAUUAAAUCACUUACCUAAUCACAAAAUACAAAGAGUGGGCAUUAUGCAAAUUUAAGCAUCAAAAGAAUUUCCACUCCCAAAGAUUCAACUCUAAAUCUUCCACAAGAAUCUAAGUGUUAAGUUGAUUAGUUUCCAAUUAUAGUAUGCUAAACUAUGCUCUCCCCUAACCUAGUUCUUUCUCGAACCUAGCAAACUGACCAACACCGAAUAGGCUAAGAACGCACCUAUUUUAUUUCACAAUUCUUUUAUUUGCUCAACUUCACCCAUUCACCCUUGUAAUGAGCAUUAAGGUCUAUGACUCCCAACCAAUUAAGGUUUAGGGCACCAGGCUUCAAAGACUUUUGCCAUAUACCCCUAGGACCUUGCUCGGGAUUCAAGGCAAGUGUAUCACUUUUUUUUUUUUUUUUUUAUGAAAGCUCAUUGGCCUUCUAUAAGGUGUCCCAACACUAUUAAAAUGAGGUCAAAUGUACCAAGUCAAAAUUUUCCUAAGUUCAAGGGGUGAGAUAGUUUUUCAUCUUAUAAUUGGAACCUAAUGUGCAUAGUGUGUGGUAAGAUUAAAGUGGAAGAAACAAGGUUGAAUUCAAUAGGAGCUUCAAUAAUUCAUCAACCUCAAUAAACAUAAUACAAACUCUAAGACUUAAGCAAAAAGGCAAGAACUCAACUUCUCUCAUUUCAUUUUGAGAAUUUUUCCUUGACAACCAUGGAGAGUAGAGUAAAUUUUUUUUAAAAAAUUCAACAAAAGGUAACUAUGUUAACAAAAUAUCCUAGCAAUAUUUACAAUACUUACUUCCUCAACUCUCACCCCAACCAAGCUGAACAUUGUCCUCAAUGUUUCAAUUGCAAGCGAAAAUAAAGGGAGGAAGUGAUACCUCUUGAGGGAAAUUGGGGUUUCAGAGCAAAAUUUUCACAGUCAUGCAAAAGUUUCGCAAAAGGGCGCAAAAAUGACUAGAGAAGUGAGAAAUGAAGUUGGGAUGUAUGCUGUAAAAAUUUUUUUUUACUUUUUUUUUUUUUUUUUUACAAAAUUCGCAAAGUGGAUUUCACAAAGUGGAAUUCGCAAAGUGAAAUUCGCAAAAUGACAUUCGCAAAGUGACAGUGGAAUUUUUCGCACAGUGGGAUUUUCGCAAAAUGGGAUUUUCACAAACCCUGUGGAAAUUUGCAAAGUGUGCGAAUUUGUGGUCCGAGAGCUGUAGUUUUCAAAAAUGAUGAGGAGGAUUUCGCAAAGGGUGCGAAAUUUUCGCAUGCUCUGCGAAAUAGAAGUAGCUUACCUAAUACAAAGGGCACUUUUCGCACACCAUGCGAAAAUUUCGCAGGGAUGUGUGCGACAUGCUCCAUUUUAGUAUUUCCUUAGCUUUUCCUCUGCCAACGAAUCCUUAAGUGCUCUCCCCUGCAAGUGAUCAUCAAAAACCUAAAUUAACUCAUACUAAAAUAGAAUUCAAGCAAGAAAACGAAAUCAAAACAAAUACAAAUGCAAGAAAAAACAUGAAAUCAAAAACAAAAAACAAAAAUGGAUGAACGUAAUAAUUUUCAGAAAUACUAAGUCCAUCCAGGAUAUGAUUUUUCAAGCCUGAGGGGGAUUAAGGAGGAUGAAUUCCUCCUUGUCUCGGGAAAAAUACUCCACAAAGGGCUUGAGACUCUGGCCAUGCACUUUGAAAGUGCAGUUGGUGUUGGCGUUGAGUAGCUUCACUACUCCAACUCGCACCACCUCUUGCAUGUGAGGGUUCAACCUUCUCUGAGGUUGGCGAAAUGGCUUUGCUUCCUCCACCAUAUAGAUAUGAUGGGUGCACACCAAAGGGCUGAUCCCUUUCAAGUCUGAAAAUUUCCACCCAAUGGCCUUCUUACAACUUCUAAGGAUUCCGAUUAGGCCAUCCUCUUGAUGAAUAGAGAGAGUUGAAGAGAUCACCAUAGGGCACUACUCAUCUUCCUCCAAGUAUGCAUAUUUCAACCCAAUAGGAAGAAGUUUAAGAGUAGGCCUUGGGGGUUCCUUCUUAGCAGCUUUGUGCGACUCCUCUUCAUUGAACAAAGGUAGAAUCUCUUCCCUCCUCCUCUAAUGAGACAUGGUAGUCAGCAAAUCUGAGGGUUCAGGUAACCCUUCAUCAAGAUCCCCAAUACUCUCAAUCAAAUCUUUCUCCAUGCUCUGUUCACAGUGCUCCUCCACCAAAGUGUCAAUCAUGCACACUUCCUCUGGCCCUUCCUCUUCUUCCGGAUGGAGAUGCUUCUUGCACAAAUGGAAGAUGUUUAGCUCCAAGGUCAUGUUGGCAAAUGUGAGUUGCAUAACUCCAUUCCUACAAUUGAUGAUUGCAUUCGAAGUAGCGAGGAAUGGUCUUCCAAGUAUGAUUAGCACAUAGUUUGUCCCCGUGACAAUUGGAUCAGUAUCAAGAACAACAAAAUCUACUGGAUAGUAGAAUUUUUCAACUUGUACCAAGACAUCUUCAAUUAUCCCUCUUGGGAUCUUCACUGAUCUAUCAGCUAGGGAAAGAGUAAUGGACGUGGGUUUCAACUCCCCAAGUCCCAACUGCUUGUAAACCGAAUAGGGUAGCAAAUUCACACUUGCUCCCAAGUCUAGAAGAGCUUUCUCCACACAUGUCCUUCCAAUAUUUACUGAAAUGGUGGGGCAUCCUGGAUCUUUAUACUUCAUCGGAGACUUGCACUGGAGGAUAGCACUCACUUGCUCAGUCAAAAAGGCUUUCUUGUUCACAUUUAACCCUCUCUUUACAGUGCACAAGUCCUUCAGGAAUUUGGCAUAAGUUGGAACUUGCUUGAUCAUGUCAAGUAAAGGAAUGUUGACCUUCACUUGCCUCAACACUUCAAAAAUUCCUGAUGUAUUCUUGGUUCCCUUCUUACCAUGCAAAGCUUGAGGGAAAGGUGGAGGCAUGUGCUUCUUCAUCAUAUCUUCCUUGAUGACUAUCCUUGGUUCUUCAUCCACAUUAGAAUCAUGGCCAUCUUUCUCUAACUUCUUCUCACCCAUGUCUUUCUCUUUCUUUGAUUCCCUUCCCUCAUCAUGAUUUAACUUGGGUGGGGGUUGAACAACCUCCUUACCACUCCUAAGAGUGAUAACUGCUUUGACUUCCCUUACCUUUGAAGAUUCUUCCUCUUGAGCUUCUACUUCAUGAAUACCCUUGGGAUUUUGAUGAGGUUGAGAAGGAAACUUUCCUUUCUCUUGCACAGUAUUGAGGUUGGUGAGCCUUGAGAUGGAGUAUUGAAUAUUAUCUAUCUUCUGAUAUAGAUCAUUUUGCAUCUCAUCCAUCCUCUUAUUCAAUGUACUCUCCACUCUAUCAAUUUUCUGAUUCAAUUGAGAGUUGAUUGACUUUUGCUCCCCCACAAAGUCUCCUACAACCUUGCUAAGAUUCGCAAUAGCUUAUUCAAGGUUUGAAGCUUGUUGAAGUGCUUGAGCUGGUGGUGUGUACUGAGGUGGCCUUGGCUUCCAUGAGAAAUUUGGAUGGUUCCUCCAAUUAGAAUUGUAGGUGCUUCCAUAAGGAGCAUUGUUAUUGGGCUUGAAUUGGUCAACCACAUUUGCUUGAUCACCAAACAUUUCUCUCACUGCUGGAAGUGUUGGACACUCCUCCACCAAGUGCUCAUAAGACUAACAUAUAGAACAAGGCAUGGCUUGCACUUCUUGUACUUUCUUCAGUUCUAGCUCUUCCAAUCUCCUUGUUAUAGUUGCCAAUUUUGCUUUCAUGUCCAUGUCUUCACUCAACACAUACAUUCCACCCUUAGCAUUGGGGUGAGACUUCAUCCUCCCCACAUCUCUGGUAUUCGGUUCAUCCCAUCCUCUUGAAACUUCAGAAACAUAGCUCAAGAAGUCCAUAGCUUCCUCCGGAUUCUUACUCAUGAAGUCUCCUCCACACAUGGUCUCUAGGAUUUGCUUCAUAGAGGAAGACAUCCCAUCAUAGAAAUAACUCACUAAGAGCCAUGUAUCAAAGCCAUGGUGGGGACAAGCGUUGAUAGCUUCCAUGUACCUCUCCUAACACUCAUAGAAUUUCUCAUUCUCCUUAGCUGAGAAGUUCGAAAUUUGCCUUUUCAAGCCAUUGGUCCUAUGAUUAGGGAAAAACUUCUUGAGAAACUCAGCUUGUAAAUUAGUCCACGUUCUGAUACUCCUCGGCCUUAGAGAAUUAAGCCAAACCUUGGCCUUAUCCUUUAAGGUGAAAGGGAAUAGCUUGAGUCUCAUCAUUUCAAUUGCAGCUCCUCCUUCUUGGAAUGUAUUGCACACUUCUUCAAACUCCUUGAUGUGAGAAUAGGGGUUCUCACUUUCCAUCCCAUGGAAAGUAGGUAGAAGUAGCACUAUAUGAGGUCGGAUCACUAGUUGCUCAGUGGGGAGCACUAUGCAUGAAGGUGCACUCAUUCGAGGUGGAUGCAUGCGGUCCCUCAUGGAUCGGUAUGCAUUGAGAUUCUCCUCUUGCCCAUGUUGGCUAUGCUGAUCUUCAGGUGGAAUAUCCAUGAUGUUUAAGCAGACUUCCAACUCGGUUUCUCGAGGAGUUUCAAUUUUCCCAAAUCUUCCCUCAAUAUCCCUUAUCCAAUAAGGCAUACAAAACUUGAGAUUACUGAAACAAAAACAAAGAAAACAAAAAGGACUACAAUUCUAGGAAAAUAUUUAAGGUUAGAUAAAAACUAAAUGAAAGAUAAGAUAAAAUAAAAACAAAGAAAAUGAGUUAGUGAAAGAAAAAUCACCUACUUCUGAUGAAGAUCACAAGUACUCAUAAAAGGUAACAUUUAUGUACUUAGGCACCAUCCCCGGCAACGACGCCAUUUGAUUCAUGCCCAGUCGGGUGUUUAUCAAAACAUUUAUAAAACCUACAACACCUUAUACUAGGGUAGCAAAGACAAAGCUACUAUAACAUAGUGGCUCUAGGAUCGUCCACAGUGAUGGGUUUUCUUUGUACACUUAACAUUAAUGAAAUGAGAAAUGGUGAUUUCCUUUUUGGAAAGUUAGUUUUUAAUGAAAAUAAGAUUGAUUGGAAAUGUUGAUUUUUAGUUAAGCAAACAUAAACAACUGAAAUUACUACAAAAAGAGUUUCUUGGAGCUAUAGGUUACUAGGAUCAAGUUCCUGUUGCAAAAUGGGAAAUUCCGGAUCUUCUCCUUGCAUUGGGGACAAUAGCAUAAAGGAUGGUUAUCUCCCGAACCGGAUUUAUAUUUAGCAAAUAAGUUUUGAUCCAAAGGGUUCUUGAAAAAUGGUAAUUGCUUCCCAUUAAUGGCUUCAAACACUAAAGACCCUCACCUUGAACCACCUUCCAAUGGCUCGUACUUGAUAACUAAUGGACAUCCAUGGAUCUAGCAAUAAGCAUCCAUAGAAUCCUAAAAGCUUACCAAGUAUUGGCCAUUCAAGGUUAUUCUAAGGGAUUAAAGCUGAAACUUGAAAUAUAAACCAUUAAUGAUACACAACUAUCUUCGUUUAAAGCAAGGAAAACUCCCACUUUUGCAUCCGGGUCCUUUACCUAGCUUCCAUCACUCCAAGAAAUGUGAAACUUAGCCACUCAUCCUAUGAGAAAUCAUCCUCAAAGGGUGUUUGGCUAGAGAGAAAGUGAAGAGAAAAUGAGAAGGAAAGGUAGAGAAACCUCCCGUCUUUACAAAAUAUCUAAAACAUAAUAUCUAACAUCA